rnacentral:rRNA from 1 species
UUCUAGUGGCGGACGGGUGAGUAACGCGUGGGUAACCUGCCUUAUACUGGGGGAUAACAGCCAGAAAUGACUGCUAAUACCGCAUAAGCGCACAGAACCGCAUGGUUCGGUGUGAAAAACUCCGGUGGUAUAAGAUGGACCCGCGUUGGAUUAGCUAGUUGGUGGGGUAACGGCCCACCAAGGCGACGAUCCAUAGCCGGCCUGAGAGGGUGAACGGCCACAUUGGGACUGAGACACGGCCCAGACUCCUACGGGAGGCAGCAGUGGGGAAUAUUGCACAAUGGGGGAAACCCUGAUGCAGCGACGCCGCGUGAAGGAAGAAGUAUCUCGGUAUGUAAACUUCUAUCAGCAGGGAAGAUAGUGACGGUACCUGACUAAGAAGCCCCGGCUAACUACGUGCCAGCAGCCGCGGUAAUACGUAGGGGGCAAGCGUUAUCCGGAUUUACUGGGUGUAAAGGGAGCGUAGACGGUGUGGCAAGUCUGAUGUGAAAGGCAUGGGCUCAACCUGUGGACUGCAUUGGAAACUGUCAUACUUGAGUGCCGGAGGGGUAAGCGGAAUUCCUAGUGUAGCGGUGAAAUGCGUAGAUAUUAGGAGGAACAC